rnacentral:misc_RNA from 1 species
AAGUCGUAACAAGGUCUCCGUUGGUGAACCAGCGGAGGGAUCAUUACAGAGUUGCAAAACUCCCAACCUUUGUGAAUCAACUAGACAGUUGCCUCGGCGGGAAGCCCUUUAGGGGGCUGUCCGCCGGAGGACCACUAAACUCUUGUAUUUUGGCCUCUCUGAGUAAUUCUAAAAUGAAUCAAAACUUUCAACAACGGAUCUCUUGGUUCUG